GAUGAACGCUAGCGGCAGGCCUAACACAUGCAAGUCGAGGGAGAAGCCCUUCGGGGCGGAAACCGGCGCACGGGUGCGUAACGCGUAUGCAACCUACCUUUCACAGGGGGAUAGCCCGAAGAAAUUUGGAUUAAUACCCCAUAAUAUUGUUGGAUGGCAUCAUUUGGCAAUUAAAACUGAGGUGGUGAAAGAUGGGCAUGCGUCCUAUUAGCUAGUUGGAGUGGUAACGGCACCCCAAGGCUACGAUAGGUAGGGGUCCUGAGAGGGAGAUCCCCCACACUGGUACUGAGACAGGGACCAGACUCCUACGGGAGGCAGCAGUGAGGAAUAUUGGUCAAUGGUCGGAAGACUGAACCAGCCAUGCCGCGUGCAGGAAGAAUGCCUUAUNGGUUGUAAACUGCUUUUAUAUGGGAAGAAUAAGGUGUACGUGUACAUNGANGACGNUNC
rnacentral:rRNA from 1 species